rnacentral:rRNA from 1 species
UACGAAGGGGGCUAGCGUUGCUCGGAAUUACUGGGCGUAAAGCGCACGUAGGCGGCUUCUUAAGUCGGAGGUGAAAUCCUGGAGCUCAACUCCAGAACUGCCUUCGAUACUGGGAAGCUCGAGUCCGGGAGAGGUGAGUGGAACUGCGAGUGUAGAGGUGAAAUUCGUAGAUAUUCGCAAGGACACCAGUGGUGAAGGCGGCUCACUGGCCCGGUACUGACGCUGAGGUGCGAAAGCGUGGGGAGCAAACAGG